GCAUACUCAUCAGCUGUGAUCAGCUGGCCUACUUGUUUGGGAAGUCUGCUCAAGGCCGGAGUCCAAUCUGAAUUGUGUGUGAAAGACGGAAUAAAUGUGAGGCCUUUCAUGAGCAGGGAUGACUGUGAGGGAGAGAGAGUAAAGUGUUUGGAAAGAUUCACAACAAGCCUGUGUGCACCCUUUCUCGGGUGUUCACUCACUGCAAGUUUAAAUAUCGUGCCCAGUGUUCCAACAUGUUCCUGGCUGUCUCUGCAGUCCAGUGCAGGCCGUCACUCUCUACCUGAAACUGAUCCUCUGGCAGGAGGGGGAUGAAGGAAUAAUUUUCCUCUAUGUAAUUGUUCAAUUCAUCUAAAAAUAUUUUUUCUCCUUCUGGGAGAGAUUGGGGGAUAUUGAUCAGGGGGAUCCACAGUUGGGCCUCUGGCAGUCUCUCUUGUGCCACCUGACUCAAUCUGGCACACUCUCUCAUCGCUGAGAUGCGUAAUCUUUGUGUGCGGUUAUUCAGGCCGAAUGCCAAGACUAUUUUUUCUACUUGUGUGUCUACUGUAGCUUUUUCUAUCAGAUUGGCCGCGUGCUGCAAUUUAGCCCCUGGAAAACUGUCAAUCUGUAAAUCAGGAAUGUCAAAAGCAGGAAUCCUGCUCAAAUUGGAGUCCCCGAUGACCACGUGUUUCUCUUUGAGUGCCAGUUUCCACUCAUUGAACUUCUUGUUAGUUCUAAGAGAUAAUGUUUUCCAUUUUUUUGGAAGUUUCCCCCCUCUCUGUCUCCUGAGGAGCCCCUGGUUGAAGAGAUGUCACAGAAUAUUCUGAAAAAUCAAAGUCUGAGAGAUUUGGUGACCCUGACGGAUUUUGGAAGAUCUGGGCACUCUCAGCUGUGUCCCUUAGAGGAUUUACUCUAUGUACUGCAUUGGCUACAAUGGGGACCAGAGAAGGCAGGCCUGUGGUUAUCGGGGCCUCAGCCUCAGAGGGGGCAAAAGGAGAGAAAAGUUCCUGUGACAGCUGACCCGUAAACUCAUCUAAAUCAUCCAGUCUGUCACCCUGUGCAGGAGUUAACUGAUCCUCCUCCUCAUCAUCAUCAUCAAAACUCACUAAGAGAUUUUUCUCAGCUUGUUCUGUAACGACUGGUGGAGUUUUUGGUCUCUGUUCUGUCAGGUGUUUUUUCUUUUCUGGUCUUUUCCCCUUAGGAGACUGUAUAGGGGCCUGUAUAGGGGCCUGUACAGGAGGGUUCAGAGGUGGAAAAUCAUCUCCCAGAAGCCAGUCGUUCCUCAUAGGAGACCAGCCUGACAUUAAAGUGGGCGAUGUUUGUAUCUGGAUGUGUGUGACCCCUGUCUUAGGUCUGACGACCCCUGUGUUGACCGUUUCUGUCCCCUGCUGAGCUGAGGCUAGAUCUGCACCACUAACCACCUGAGCAAAUGUUCUGUUGCUACUGGUUUCAGAAUUCGAUGGUACUCUAGACCCGGAUGGAGUCCCAGAACGCAAUUCGGUCAGGACCAAAGUUUCGGCCUGCUGAAUUGCCCUCUGGGAGAUCCUUUUGCCAAAAUUUCUCAUCGCCCAUUUUACAGCGAUCUCAAAAGCGUGUAACCAGUCUUUUCUCUGUGUCUCUCCCCGUAAGAUCCCCAGUGUGUGCUUUAUGAUAUCCUCAUAAUGUUGCUGUAACACCAACUGUGUCGUAAACGCCCAGUUCUUUGCAUUACCCUCCAGCAAUUCUUUUGUGGACAUUGUGGGGGCAAAGGGUUUGAUCACACUUUUAAGAAGCUCUGUUAACCUUUUAAGAGUGACAGGCUGGUUAUCUUCUAUCCGUGUGUCAAUAUUACUGAGGUGAUGGACAGAUCUGAUCAGAUGAUACAUAUUCUUAAUAAUUCUCCGAAAAGUGGGAGAAGCAGGAGAGUAUUCUGUAUUUUUUUGUGAAUCAAAGUGAGUUUUUUGGCCCAUUCUUUUUUUCUGGUGAACAUAUUUUUGUGCAAACUGGCCAUUCUCACGUCUCCUGUUCUUUUCUACAUUACGAGGAGAAUAUUGUGUGUUUCUGUAUCUCUGGUCAGUAAACCUGUUCUGUUCAGUGGGGUAAAAAAUCCUAUUUUGCCCAAAAGUCACUCUCUUUUGUUUGGGUUUAAAUCCCCGAUUUAAAGGGCGUCGAUCACGUGACUGACGACGGAAAGGAUUUACAGUAUUCUCCGAUCGAGUUUCAUUCUGUACUCUGUUACUGUAACCCGCGAGUGAUUCUCCGUGUCUGAUGACCUCAUAUGGGAAGUCACGAGAUCGCUCGACAAAAUAAUCGUCCCUCAUAAAUCGUCCCCGUCUGGGGAAAUCCCUGUUAUCUGUGUGAGGGAUCAGACGCGCUCGAGGGGUCGUGAAACGACCCUUGUUCUGAAAAACGAACACCAUCCUUAUUUUACUGAACGAUCAAAUCCACAACUGUGUAUUCUUUUAAUCUUUUAUUCUAUUUCUGAAAAUGAAAAAAAAUGUUUUUUUUGUCCUUUUAUAUUUUUUUAACUUUUUUUUGGAUUUUCUUGUGUUUUUUUUAACAAUAAAGAGAUAAACCAACUUUUUUUGGAUUUUGUAGUGUUUUUUUCAACAGUAUGAAAUGAACCAGAUGUGUGAUUUUAUAUGAAAUCAAAAGAAAAAAGAUCAAAGGAUCAAAAUAAAAUUUCAAAAUAAUGGAAAAAAACAAAAAUAUAUUUUCUUUUAGGGAAAUAAAUGUUUCUGUGUUCAAGCCUAUAUCGCGACGUUUCGAUACUUUGAUGUAUCUUCUUCAGGCAGGCUUGAACUUUUAAAUUUUCUGUUUUAUCUCGAGAUACAAAAUAACCGUUUUACUAAAUCACCAACCAAGAUGUUACUGCAAGCAGUGCAACAAUCCUUCUGACUCAGACUGCGUUCCGUUAGGUAUAUCAAAGCCAGUCGAUGACGUCAUCGGCACGCCAUCCUCCAAUCCCUUCAAACCAAUACAAAAUUUAAACCAAACAAGCACACGAUGCAUUUUUCAAAUUUGAAUUAUGUGCGUUGCAUUUUUUAUUUUUUAUUUAUUUUUAAUCGAUGCAUGUUGCUUUUUUUAUAGAGAAUUUUUUUCUUUGCUUUUUUCAAAUUUAAACGAUGCUCUUUGCCUCUUUCAAUUUGAAAAAUGCAGCUCCUCAGUCUGCAUGUAACAAAGAAAUCAAUGCAUCCCUCAAAUGUGCUCCAAGUAGCCAUAAAUAAUAUUUUUUAAUCAUUUAUGACUAUUAAAGCCCUCUAGUGCCUCAUAAUAUAUGUAUUUUUAUUUAUUGUAUAUUUAUGUAUAUUCAGUUCUGUUUCUAUAUGUUUUUCACAAUCAUCUCUUUCUGUUUUAUAGAGAGAUACUGAAAAAAAUAUAUUCUAGUGCCCAUGAAGUAUUUAUAAUUUUAUCUUUAUGCUUUUUUAUGCUUUUUAUAUUUGUAUUAUAUUUAACCUCGUGUGUCUUUAUAAGUAAUCCAUGAAAACCAUGAAUUCUAGUGCCCAUGAAGUAUGUAUUCAUAUUUUAAUUUUUUAAUAUGUAUUAGGGUGUAUAUUUAUUUAUUUUAAUAAUAAUAAUAAAAAAAGAAGAACAUAUGAAAGCCCAUAAAGUGUGGUUCCGCUGAGUACCCACUAGAGGUCAUGAGAAGAGAGGGCCCAGAGAGGGAGGCUCAGGCUGGGUUAGGAAAAAGGAGAGUUUUCCCAGGAUAGGACCCUGAGGGUCCCACUCUGGGUUGUGCACGGUCCAUCCCUCCACUGGUCACCCCCAAAUCACAUACAGACCAAGAGAGGUCACAGCAGGCCAACUGUUAAGGGCUGUUCAUAGGGCUAUUGAGGCCAGGGCUAUUCAGUUUAGGUCUGGUUAAGUUUAGGUUUGUGCAGGAUGGGUCUGUAAAAUCCAGGUAUGAAUCCUGGGGUGUCUGGUAGGUUUUAGGUUUUGGAUAUGGUGGGUUGGUUAGGUUUAGGUUGUGUUAUGUUUAGUCGGUUAGGUUUAGGUUUGGGUUAAGGUCAGGUAGAUCUGCUAAGUCUCAUUAAGACCUCUUGGGAAUUUUGUAUCCAGUCUCAUGAUCCAUAAUCUUUCAAAUUUGAGUCUAUCACACAACGACCAGAAUGGGUCAGAUUGAAGUCCAGUCACCCUGAAGGCCUCAAGGCCGUGGGUGAGGAAGUGCUGGACUACGUGUCUACGUUUCUCUAUUUUAUUUUUUAUGUUGUGUGUGUGCUGAUAGACUCGGACCUUUAAAGCAUUUUUUGUCUGGCCUACAUAUUGUUUGGAACACUUUGUACAAUAAAUCAAAUAAAUACAGUUCUCUGUUACUGGAGUGAGAUGCUGUGAGAUCUGAAAGACUUGUUUUGUUGAACGAUUGAAUACCCAUUUUUUCUGAUCAAAGUAUUUACAGAGUGACUUUUU